GCCGCGCGGCCGGGGCAGCCCUUGAGGCCGAAACCGGCAAAAAUACGGCAAAAAUACGGCAAAAGCGGGGAAAAACGCGUCCAGGUUAACGCCUCCGAGCACCCUCGCCUUGCUUUGCCAUGGUUCCCCUCAGCCACAGUGCGUGUGAUUGAUGUCAGCAGAGUCAAGCUUUCUGUGUCCCACACCUGCGUGUGGGACAUGAAGCUUCAGCAAAGCAAUCCCUGUGCACUGGGACCAUUGCCUUGAAGGACAUUCCCUGUUAUCUCCCUGAAUGACACUGAUGUACAUACCAGAGGACAAAAUACUUCACAUUAGAGAUUUAGAAUCUGUGUGUCAAGCGUGAGCCAACAGGCACAAGUGACGUCAGGCAGAGGUAAGGCCAAGGACACAGGUGACAAUGCAUUGUGCACUGGCAGAGACUGGCGACACUGGAGGUUGUCACACAUGGACUGCACCACAGGCAUCCUCAGGAGGCUUUCAGUGCUGUGAGCCUACCAAAGUUGAACCGGGGUGAUUCGGUCCUCUCCAUACAAUUGCUGUACCUCGCAGGGAUGACCCAAAUGGGAAGGAGUUUCCUGCACAGUCGGGAUUAAUAAGCCACAGCAUGGGAUAAUAUAAUUAUGAACAGAAAUCCAGGCAGAGAACAGGUUCAGCUGGGGCUCCUCUCAGACAUCAGUGCCUUGAUUUGAGGACAGUCAGGGCUGCAAAGUGUCCUUUAAAUCUAGAUUUGGUUCAGAAUGAAGUUUUGUGGUAAUGUGGACAGGCCAGACUGUUUAAACAAGGCCCAGAACUGCAAUGUCUGUCAAAUCCAUCAGUUAACUUACAAAUGAAUUUUUUUACCUCUGGGAACACAAAUCCCUCUUGGCAACUGCAGGGCUGAACUACCUGGCAAGACCUCUUGAGGAGGUGUGAUGGAAGGAGGUCUGUGAAGGCAGCCAGCUCACAGCACUGGCAGCUUUUAACUCCACGGACUGCCGGGAUGCAGUGGCCAACAAAUCCGUCUUAAGCAGGAUGCUCGAGUGCAGGAUGGAUGAACUCCAGCCUCGGUCCCAAUGGGGAGAGUCCAAGUCUGUGCCUCACUGAACCCCUGAACCUACAGACUCUCAACUCAUCAUUGGCAAGAGCUGCAGAUGCUUUGUCAAGGUAAUAAAUGGGCAAUCAGAAUGCAGUUCGUGUCUCCUUGGUGUUUCUGACCUGUUGGGGUGUGCUGGAGUUCCUCUGGCAAAGGGACAGGAGCUCCUGUCUGGGUGGAAGCUGAGAUACAGAGAAGAUAGAGACAGAUGGGGAAGCACCAG